rnacentral:rRNA from 1 species
UACGAAGGGGGCUAGCGUUGUUCGGAAUUACUGGGCGUAAAGGGCGCGUAGGCGGUACUUCAAGUCAGGCGUGAAAGCCCCGGGCUCAACCUGGGAACCGCGCUUGAGACCGGAGAACUAGAGUUCGGGAGAGGAUGGUGGAAUUCCCAGUGUAGAGGUGAAAUUCGUAGAUAUUGGGAAGAACACCGAUGGCGAAGGCAGCCAUCUGGACCGACACUGACGCUGAGGCGCGAAAGCGUGGGGAGCAAACAGG